UUAAGAACUCCUUUUUGUCGAGCCUGCGACUUUUGUCGCAGAAAGCUCGACAUAGGGAUAGUGAUCCGGCGGCGGCGUUAGCUAACUUCUUAAAAGCUUUAUAUUUUAGAAGGUGGAAGAGCUGGAUGCUUCAUACUUUGUAUAUGGAUGCCUCAUGUUACGAAGUUUCCGUCAGUCACAUGUCCAAUGUCCUUGACCUCAUUUUCAUGGUUCAGUGACUACUUGAAAAAAAAGUUAAGAUUUUUUGUAAUGUUAAAUUCUCUCUUAUUAUAAGUAAUAGGAUAACUAUAUUUGGUAUGUGCGUACCUUGCAAGGUCCUCAUGCCCGUCAGACAGUUUUCACCUGACCUCGACCUCAUUCCAUGGAUCAGUGAACAAGGUUAAGUUUUGGUGGUCAAGUCCAUAUCUCAGAUACUAUAAGCAAUAGGUCUACUAUAUUUAGUAU